rnacentral:rRNA from 1 species
UACGGAGGAUGCAAGCGUUAUCCGGAAUGAUUGGGCGUAAAGCGUCCGCAGGUGGCGAUGUAAGUCUGCUGUUAAAGAGUGAGGCUCAACCUCAUAAGAGCAGUGGAAACUACAUAGCUAGAGUGCGGGUAGGGGCAGAGGGAAUUCCUGGUGUAGCGGUGAAAUGCGUAGAGAUCAGGAAGAACACCGGUGGCGAAAGCGCUCUGCUAGGCCGCAACUGACACUGAGGGACGAAAGCUAGGGGAGCGAAUGGG